GCCAGCAGCCACAACUCUACAACUCACAACUGGUAACCCACUGAAGGUCAGCAGGUGUGAACCUGGUCAGUACCUGGAUGGGAGACCUCCUGGGAAAAACUAAGGUUGCUGCUGGAA
rnacentral:rRNA from 1 species